UCGGCACAAUUCGGCAGCACACAAGCGAAUCCCAAAGCCAAAAUUUUGCCCUACAUUCUCAAACUCCUAACCCUUAAUCAAACCACACACCUUGUUCCCUCAAGACUCUAGGCUAAGUUCGCACAUCCAGAAGAGAUCAGUAAACCUAGGGUUUGCCCACUCAAGGUACUUUUGAUAUUUUUGUGCAAGUUGAUAUAAACUGUGUCGAUUUGCUGUGUUCUUCUUCUUGCUGCAUAUUGGUGUGAUUUCCACUACUUGAAAUCUGGAUAGUGCAAUCACAAACAGAGGUUGUCCAAGUUUGGUUUGAGGAACGCACUCCAAGUGUUUGAUAAAUUUCCUAAGAGAAGAAUCUGAGUGUUUUAGGGCUGUUUGAUUUUCGCUAUUGCUGGGGUCUUCUUGGCCUAAGUUUGGGGGAAGUUUGUGCAUUGUUUAAGACUAUUUUUGCAUCAACUUGACUGAAAUUUGGCAUGGCUCCAAAAAGGCAACGUCUGAGCAUCGGAGGGUCUUCUUUGUCCAUCGCACCACCACCCAUAGGUUGGGACAGAGCCAAAUUUAUCAAUGAGGAGGCCUGGAAAAGGCACAAAAGUUCUUUUGGCUCACGCAAUCUGAUUCCUGAGCGGGGGUUCAGGCCGAAUAGGAAAGAUGGUGAGCUAAACACCAU
rnacentral:lncRNA from 1 species